GCUCACGCUGCACUAUCGGAUCGUUUUAGAAACAUCAGUGGCCAACAGAUCGCCAGAUCGUUGAGCUGCAUUGGCGGGAUUUCGCCGUCUUCGUUUCUCUUUCUUCGCGGACGAACACGCGCCGGGGCUGCGCUGUGCGAUUGCAUUCGGCGCUUGUCGCCGGUUGCUGCACGCCGAGACCCUACUCCUUGAUAGGAUAGCGUUAGGGGCUUGUAGCUCAGUUGGUUAGAGCGCGCGCUUGAUAAGCGUGAGGUCGGAAGUUCAAGUCUUCCCAGGCCCACCACUUUCAUCGAGUGAGCAUUCGUCUUCUGGUUACGGGGCCAUAGCUCAGCUGGGAGAGCGCGUGCUUUGCAAGCAUGAGGUCGUCGGUUCGAUCCCGUCUGGCUCCACCAGAUGGUUUGAUCACCGAGAUCUUGUACCGUCGUCCGCGAAACAUCACUUCGCAUUCGCUAGUCUGGAUAGACAGUGAACUGCGUGUUUUCUGACAUCGUAAAGAGGAGAUCGAUCCGAGCUGGGUCGUGCAGCAAAUUGUUGCGCGGGCCUUCAUUAUCUCCGGAUCAUUUUCGGCGCUCGCUUCCAGCCGUGAGGUUGGAUGCGAGUUGUAAAAUGAUCCUUUUAGCGAAGCUUGACCGCCUCGCUAUCGGAACGAUCUUACGAAGCAAGCUGGUCUUUCUAGUCAAUGUCCGGCUGCAGAUAGCGUUCAUCGAGGGCGCGUGCCGCAAGGUAGUUCUGCAGACAACAUUCUGCCGAGUGUGUGGACAUUGAUAAUGAGAGCAAUCAAGUGCCUUAAGGGUGUUCGGUGGAUGCCUUGGCGCUGAGAGGCGAUGAAGGACGUGCUACGCUGCGAUAAGCCGUGGG
rnacentral:misc_RNA from 1 species